UCCGGCUUGACGCCGGCAGUCCCCCGAGAGUCCUCAGCUUGACCUGCUAGUAACACGGGGCAAGGGUUGCGCUCGUUGCGGGACUUAACCCAACAUCUCACGACACGGGCUGACGACAGCCAUGCACCACCUGCACACCAACCACAAGGGAACGCCUAUCUCUAGACGCGUCUGGCGAAUGUCAAACCCAGGUAAGGUUCUUCGCGUUGCAUCGAAUUAAUCCACAUGCUCCGCCGCUUGUGCGGGCCCCCGUCAAUUCCUUUGAGUUUUAGCCUUGCGGCCGUACUCCCCAGGCGGGGUGCUUAAUGCGUUAGCUGCGGCACGGAGCGGGUUGAAGACCGCCCCACACCUAGCACCCAACGUUUACGGCUGGGACUAC
rnacentral:misc_RNA from 1 species